rnacentral:rRNA from 1 species
ACAUGCAAGUCGAACGGUAACAGGAAGCAGCUUGCUGCUUCGCUGACGAGUGGCGGACGGGUGAGUAAUGUCUGGGGAUCUGCCUGAUGGAGGGGGAUAACUACUGGAAACGGUAGCUAAUACCGCAUAACGUCGCAAGACCAAAGAGGGGGACCUUCGGGCCUCUUGCCAUCAGAUGAACCCAGAUGGGAUUAGCUAGUAGGUGGGGUAACGGCUCACCUAGGCGACGAUCCCUAGCUGGUCUGAGAGGAUGACCAGCCACACUGGAACUGAGACACGGUCCAGACUCCUACGGGAGGCAGCAGUGGGGAAUAUUGCACAAUGGGCGCAAGCCUGAUGCAGCCAUGCCGCGUGUAUGAAGAAGGCCUUCGGGUUGUAAAGUACUUUCAGCGGGGAGGAAGGCGAUGCGGUUAAUAACCGCGUCGAUUGACGUUACCCGCAGAAGAAGCACCGGCUAACUCCGUGCCAGCAGCCGCGGUAAUACGGAGGGUGCAAGCGUUAAUCGGAAUUACUGGGGCGUAAAGCGCACGCAGGCGGUCUGUCAAGUCGGAUGUGAAAUCCCCGGGCUCAACCUGGGAACUGCAUCCGAAACUGGCAGGCUUGAGUCUUGUA